UGGACAAAGGGGCAAAUCACUCUUCUCACCUCUUUCAGUAUCUAUUAAUGUUACCACGAUAAUACCUGAAACUACCACAUUUUUCACACCUUUGGGUUAAGGUACAAAACAACUUUACCUGGGAGGAGUACCCCAAGGCAUGAAUAUUUUUUCAGUAUGAAUUAACAGAGAGUAAACCCCUGAAGGAAUUGGACACAUUCCUGUAUUUUAAAUUUAAUGAUCCUUUACGGAGAACCUACUGUGUGCUAGUCAUUAUCUAGACACUUGAUAUACAUCAUGAACAAGACAGAUACCAUCACUGCUGUUUUAGAAUUAUAGCCUAGGAAACAGAAGUGAUCACUUUUGUUGCAGGUAGGAGACUAUAGACAAAAAGUUGGGAAAGUAAUUUCCUGAAGCAAGUAGAGUCCAGGUAGAGAAGAGAAACCACGAUGGAAGCCAAGCCAUGAUGGAGGCAUCACUCUGUAGCAUAAAAGAGAGGGAGGAGACAGGGAGUUUGAAGGUCCCAGUUUCCACAGUAGAGAUGGCCUCCCACUCCUAAAAUCACACGACAGCAUCACAUUUCAUCUCUGGAUAACCUAAGUCUGGGGAAAGAAUUAACAGAGUGAAACUUCAGCAUGAAUCUUGCUUGCAUGAGAAAAAUGAGCUUUGAAUCAUUAACAAGGCAAUUGCUGCUACAUACUAAUGAUGCCAUUUCCUGGUCCUGGUCUUUUUUGCAUUAAUGCACCCCAUGGUGCGGACUGAAUGAUAUAAAAAUGAUUACAAGCUUUGGAGAUAUUUCUGGGUUUGAUUGUUUUAGGCCAUGCACCACUUGUUUAGAUUAUGAAUUAACUAAUAAAUCUAUGUUAUUCUCUAAGUUUGAAGAUUGAAAAAGCCUUACUCCUUUCUCUGAUACCAAGUUAAUAUAACUAUCUCUGAUGACAGCAAAUGAAGUCUAAACAAUGGUCAUUAGUGUGAUAUACUCCACACACACCAGGUCUCCAAAACUACCAGUCAUCUUUCCUAAUGAUUGAGAGAUUAUGUCUCCAGUAUUAUGAAUAAUUUAUUCUAGACUCAAUAUCAUUUUUCUCAGCUUACAACUCCCUCUGUCUUGUGCACCUCAGACUCAAUACGUAUUUAUUUAAAUGUACCAAUUGUUCAUAUAUUUUGACCUAUUUUGAGGAAUCUAGCUGAACAAACUAAUUCUAACCAUGACCAUAAAACAAAACUAUGCUAAAGGACAUUCACCAUAUCUCAAGAUACAGAAAAAAUUAAAAUGUCUUUUCUACUCUCUCACACCCCACUUGAAAUGUGUAUGCAAUGAGAGGUAGGAAAAAACAAACUCUUUUUUCCUCCUCUCUUACACAGAUACUCAUACAGCAACACAGAAUGCUUCUAUGGCCAGACAGGUGGGUUUUUUUUUUCUCCACAUACCAACUAACUGGGUGUCCUAUAAUUCAAUUUAAUUUUAACACUAUCUUCCUGGAGAUAGAGUCGGAUCCUACAGGUUAACGGCUCAGUUCCACAAGACUGUGUCCCACUUCAGAUGGCAAUUGCAAAUAGUAGAUUGUCACCUACACGUCUCAACCAGCUAUAAGGCAGGGCUUUGACUCCUCAUUCAUUGGGUUGAAUUCAUUCGCUAGAGUAGCUCAUAAAAUGCAGGGAGACACUUGACUUAUAUUUACCCAUUUAUUAUAAAGGAUAUUACAAAGAAUACAGACGGCCACUAGAUGAAGAGAUGGAUGGGGCAAGGUAUGGGAGAAGGAUUGUGGAGCUCCUAUGCCUUCUUCGGGACAUGACCUUCCAGACAUCUCCACAUGUUCGGCUAUCCAGAAGGUCACAGAACCCAGUCCUUUUGGGCUUUUAUGGAAGCUUCCAUCAUGUAGGUACUCCAAGUUGUGAUUAUAAUACACACAGUUUUCACAUCCUUCUUUCUUCAUUUAUUGCUCAUAGAUGUCUGGAACAAUAGGAACCACAUCUGGAUCUGCUAUAGAAGUUAGUACAAGAUCCUGGACCUCAAAUCUGAUUUCAGGUCUUACAUCGUUUCACUCUGUCACCCAGGCUGGAGUACAGUGGCCCUG